rnacentral:rRNA from 1 species
CGUCAAAUCAUCAUGCCCCUUAUGACCUGGGCUACACACGUGCUACAAUGGGCGGUACAAAGGGUCGCGAACCGCGAGGGGGAGCCAAUCCCAAAAAGCCGCUCUCAGUUCGGAUUGCAGGCUGCAACUCGCCUGCAUGAAGCCGGAAUCGCUAGUAAUCGCGGAUCAGCAUGCCGCGGUGAAUACGUUCCCGGGCCUU